UAAAAAAAAAUAAAUAAAUAAAAAAUCGAAAAAAAAUCGACUUUCCGACGGUCCUUGAACGCCCCUCAUUUACCGCACGAGAACAGAGCAACAAGUGCGUCAGUACACUUCAGCAGCCAGUCUCUCACUGUUUACAACAGAGAAUUAUAACGACAUCUGCUGUAGAGUCCCAACCCCCUGGGACCUGCAAACAACAAUGUCACAAAGAAGGAUUUCAAUGUUUUUUGCUCCAAAAGUGGUUGGCAGCCAAGGAGGUAUGAUAGCAGAUAAGGAUGCAGUCAGGGUUCAUGCAGGAGACCAAAGGGAGGAGAGUGCAAGUUCAGGUACCUGUAGGCUAUGUUAAGAGUGUCUAUGUAACAAAGUCGACCUGGUGAAUUCCCUCUCAGUAUAAAAAGAGGUAAAGACCUCCCACUUGCGCCAAAAAAUAGGUCGUUUUGUCCUUGGCAUAACUAAUAGCACACACGUUUAUUUGGUGGUCAAUUGUGGUCGCAAAUCAGAGGACCUGGUUUCGAGACCAAUGAAGGCAAACUAGCAGGAGGAAGCAAUACUGACGAGCAACACAAUGACACUACUUACAUGUAGUAUUUAACAUAUUUUA